CUUUAAGGUCCCUUCCAACAUUAACCAUCCUGCCAUUCUAUGAUUUAUUCCCAGGUUCUCUGCCUAAAGGGAGCCCUCAAGACCCUGCCUCACCAGACACACUCAGCUUGGUUUCCUGAGGACACUGAUGUGCUAGCAAGUCCUUCAGGCAGCUCCAGCCAAACUUAGAGGAGAACGAUUUCAAAACUGUAAAGGACCUACAAACAUUUUAGAAAUGGGUGAACAGGUUGAAGAAAGAAAGCCCUUAUUAAGUUAUUCCCCCUUAUAAAAGAGAUUAUAGCACAAGUCAGUUUUCCUUAGGCAUGCAGGCUGCUCACAGAGUGCUCUUAGGAGACACAGACCUGUAGGACACUCAGCUCCAGGAGCUACAGGACAGGGACAAGCUGCAACCCAGCACUGAGGUCCAUCCAAGAGACAGAGCUGCCACAUAGCUCCGAUGUCCCACCAGGAGAGGGCAGUGGAGAUGGGCUGCCUGCAGCACAAGCCAUGCAGGAGCCAGGGCUGCCAGGGCUGCAGACCAGCCACCGAAGGGGCCAGGGCAAGCUUAAGUGGGUCUCCAGAGCUGUGUGUGGAGGGCGUGGGUGGAGGUCUCGGGAGCAACUGCUCCCUGCUGAUGGGGUUCGUGGGUGUGCUCAGUUCUCUCUCUGGCAUCAUGGCACACCCCAUGCAGUGGAGCCUCUCCUCUGGCAAUUUGGACUCUGCUCCUAAUUUUCCUUGGCAACAAGUAGCCCCCCCAAGUUUCCGUUGCAGGUUUCUUUCCCCAGGGCUGUAUGUGAGUCGCCACUAGGGGCCACUGUGCUGCCUGGGGACAUGGCACCUCAAAUCCCUGUCAGCUCUCCAGAACUGCCUCGUAAAAAAAACACCAAACUGGCUGCUCAGGUGGCAGUGGGAUUAUGGACUGAGGAGAUAAAGACAAUACUGGCUUCGUUUUUUUAAUCUCAGCAUAAUCAGUAAUUUUUUUAAAGGCUUCAGAAGUGUUGCUCUCUUUUCAAUGCUUUUCCCGCCCAAUAAAUAAAUAAACAAGCAUCCCAUUGUGA